CAGUCGCCACGGGAAUACGAAGGGUGCAAGCGUUACUCGGAAUUACUGGGCGUAAAGCGUGCGUAGGUGGUUGUUUAAGUCUGCUGUGAAAGCCCUGGGCUCAACCUGGGAAUUGCAGUGGAUACUGGGCGACUAGAGUAAGGUAGAGGAUAGUGGAAUUUCCGGUGUAGCAGUGAAAUGCGUAGAGAUCGGAAGGAACAUCUGUGGCGAAGGCGACUACCUGGGCCAACACUGACACUGAGGCACGAAAGCGUGGGGAGCAAACAGGAUUAGAUACCCCAGUAGUCCUGUCUCUUAUACA
rnacentral:rRNA from 1 species